rnacentral:rRNA from 1 species
UUGCGUGGGAUUAGAUUUUAGUAGUAAGUCAGCGAUCCCUAGUUGAUUUGAGAGAAGAAUCAGCCACAUACGGGUAUGAAAAAGACCCUACCUAGCCGGCAGCAGUGAGGAAUUUUAGGCAAUGUGCGGAAGCAUGACCUAGUGAAUCAGUGGAAAUGAUGAAGGCUAUGGCAGCUGUAAAGUUUGUGCGCGGAAUAAAAUAAUGGUUAAUUCCGAAGAGAAACCAUGGCCAAUACAUGUGCCAGCAGCCGCGGUAAUACAUGAGUGGUGAGCAUUAUUCGUAUUGAUUGGGCGUAUAGGAUACGUAGACGGCCGUAUAGAUUUUAUUUAACUGCAUUAAAUGAAUAGGAUCUAACAAAAUACUUACGGCUUGAAUAAUCAGGAGGCAAACGGACCUAAUAAACUAGUGAUAAAAUGCGGAGAGUUUAUUAGUAUCCCCGAUAGUGAAGACAGUUUACCAUUGAUUAUUGACGUUGAGGUAUGAAAGUAUAGGUAACGACAAGGAUUAGAUACCCUAUUAGUCUAUACCGUAAAAGAUGAGUAUUCAAUUUUUUUUUUUAAAAGAAUUUGAGUUAACACGUUAAAUACUCCGCCUGGGGAGUAUAGUCGCAAGGUUUAAACUUAACAAAAUUGGCGGGAAUUUGUUUAAACGGUGGAACAUGUGGUUUAAUGCGAUAAUCCGCGAAAAAUCUUACCAGCAUUUUUUCUUCUUUUCGCUUUAUAAGUAGCAUUUAACGCUUAGAGGAGAAAUUUAGAGUUGCAUGGCUGUCGUCAGUUCGUACCGUGAGGUGUAGAAUUAAGUUUUUUUACGAACGCAACCCUCAAAUUUCAGUUUUAAAGGGCUUAGCUCUUUUUCUGGACAAACUCUUUAGUUUGGUCUUACCAAAUGAUCAGAAGAGCGAAAUAAGAGGCUGAAGUCAAGUCCUUAUGACCUUAGUAUGCUGGGCUACACACGUGUUACAAGAAUAAAGACAAAGAGUUGCAAAGGUGUGAACCAGAGCGAAUCUCUAAAAUUUAUUUAAGUGCAGAUUGUUUUCUGAAACUUGAAAACAUGAAGAUGAAAUCGUUAGUAAUUGUGUAUUAGUACGACACAGUGAAUGUAAAAUCAAAUUUUGCACACACCGCCCAUCACGCUCGGAGAAUGAUUGUCGUUGGAAGAGGUAAUAUUUUUCAUUUCGGUAAAUUCAUUUACCGAUUGCGCGUAUAAUCUUAGUAAAUCUAGUAAAAUAGAUCUUCUUUUAUACGCAGCAG